AGAGAGCCCACCCCUGUGGCUGGCUGAGGUUGGCCUCGGGGCCGUGUGGCUCCCUUCUGCGGCUUGGCUGACAAAAGCAGCCCACGUGGUCCACGCCCUCCCAGCCCACACGCCUCCUAUGGUCCAUGAUGGAGAUUCAGAGCGACAGGAACUAGAGCCGCAAAAGUGACUCCUCUUCAGACCUCCCCCACUAAUGAAUUCUCUCUGCAGAACGUGUGUUGGUCCAGCUCACUGCUCUCGUUUAUCUUUAGCUGCUCGACACUGGAAACCUUCAGAACACCACUGAUGACAGCGAUCUCAUAGGAGGCGAUGGAGAGGAGAUGAUCUCCACCCUACCCCAGUGAAGCCCCAACAGUGAGGCUGUCAGAAGACCAGAGAUGAGAGACAGACACGCACAGAGGGAAGACGAUGUGAAGACACGAGGAGAACAGCACGUGAAGGCAGAGGAUUGGAGUGAUACACCUACAAGUCCAAGGAUGCCAAAGAUGGCUGGCAAAGCAUCAGACCCUAGGAAGGCGCAAGGAUUCCAGAGUCUCAGAUGGAGCAGUGUCCUGCCAAAUCUUGAUAGUGAACUUCUAGCCUUCAGAAAUGAGGAAACAUAAAGUUCUGUUGUUCUAAGCUACCCAGCUUAUGGUACUUUGUUACAGCAACCUAGGAAAUUAACACACUUGGGAAUUUGAUUUAUUUUGGUUCAACAAAUAUUCACUGAGCUCAGUGUCGUGGGUAAUAAAACAGACAAAUAGAAAAUCACAGUCCUUUAUGAGGAGUGUGAUGAUGGUGUACUUUCAGAAGAGACUACAACUACCUGCAGGGGGAAAAGGUCCUAUAAUUCGUUCCUGUUCACUGAUUCAGAGUGGCAUUCCACCAUUGCUGAGGUUGGCCUGAACUGUCUGUAUGUGAAGCUCCUGAGAGUAACACUGGACACUGUAUCUCACCCUCUGCACCCUCAACUCUCAUCUAGGUGCCUCCUCUGUGCUCCCCAAGCCCCGUUCCUUUUCUCUACCAUAGACUCACCCCAGUGCACCCUGGUUGUCUCUUUCACAUCAAACACAUGCCGUGAGCUCUUUGCUGCAGGGAUUGGCCUUUUCCAUCACUGCAUCCCUGCGGCCCAAUGAGGACCUGGUGUGGGUUAGUGUCCAGUGAACACUGGUUCAGGGCGUUAUCAAAGGACAACCAUGCCAGAACUAGUCCAGAUCACCAUUUCUCACUGGAGCCCAUAAAUCCUUGGCAUUCUGAGGCCAUGGAUUCAGCCUGAGAUGCUCGCAUGUAGAUAAUAAUAAAUAAAUGGAUAGAUGAAUCCUCGCAUCUCCCCACAGUGCCUGGCAUAUAGCAGGCACUUUUCAAAAAUGCUUGUUCAGUAAAAUUCCUUAUAUGUCUGAUACUGUUAAGACAAAUGUCUAUAUUACAACUACUUGUUUUGACAUAUUUAUUCACUUAUUCAUCAAUAUUUAGUGAGUGGUGACUCUGUAAUCGACAGCAAGGACAGCAGAAUAAGUAAGAGACACAGUGCCCCUGCCUUCUUGUUACUUAUAGUUUAAUAAUAAUAACCCUUCACUGAGCACUUACUAUGUGCCUGGUGGUGUACUAUGUGUGCAUUAACAAACUCAAUCCUCACAACAACUUUGGGAGCAGGAAUUCCUAUUAUCCCCAUGUUACAGCCGAGGAAACUGAGGCUCUGAACGGAUAAGCAAGUUGCCCAGGGCCAUAAGGUUAGUCAGUGAUGGCACCAGAAUUCAAUCCCAAGCCGUCUGUACUCAGAUCACUACUCAGCCUCAAUUGGAAGGGAACAAAUGGCAAACAAAUAAGCAAAUAAAUAGACAAGAUAAUCCAAGACGGAGAUAAGUAGGAAACCAGAAGGAUGAUGUCGUGAAAUAUAGGAGAAUCCUGGGGCCAAAAACCAGGUGGCUUGAAUAUCUUCCCAGCCUAAGGAAGACAGUAAAAUUCAUCAUGACUCAUUCUACAAGCAUUUAGGGAGCACCUGCCCUGUGCAGGCAUUAGCCAGGCAUUACUCUAGGCACCAUGGAUAUGCGAGUAAGGAAAAUGAGCAAAAAUCAUUGCCUCUUAGAGCUUAUCAUCUAGCAAGGGGAGAGAGAUGUUUAACAACUAAAUAAUCAGAUAAACAAAUAUAAACACAUAGAAAAAUGAACAAAUAAAUAGGUGUAAAGUGCUGUACCAAAAAAAUGAUGCAUGGAAAGGGGACGAGGAAGGUCGGAGUUGGGGAAAAGAGUCUAAUCAAUGCUUACGUUGCUUCUUUUGACCUCUCAACACUUUUCUAUAUUAUGAUAUAUUUUCCCAACCACUCUACCCUAUUCCACAUAUAUUUAAUUAAAUUUACUGUGUGUCCGAUGCUGCCACCUUCCCUUGACUGUCUCUUUCCCAUAAGAGUUGUUGCUCCCCUUCCCCCAAGCAUGUUAUCAAGCUGUGACCCUUCUUCCCAGGCCAAUAAAAGAGAAAGGGAAAGACAUCUUUCCAUUAAGCAUUGACUCAGGAGAUAUUCAAUGAGUGCCUAAUAACUAUACAUAGUGUGGGUACCGCAUUUAUUGUUCAUCAAAUACUCUCACAGCCGUGAUCCGCUAUGGCUGACCAACAGUUCCUCAAUGAAGGUAGAGUAGAAGCCAUUCCAUUCAUUUUAUUUAUAUUGUACCCGUUUUGAAUAGAAUUUGAGGACAUUUAUUUUUUAAAUGGCCAAUGGGAUUAUUAUAAACAUUUCAUACAUAAGGAAACACAUUCGACAAAAAUCUAUGGGACUUACCUGAUACCACACAAUAAACAAUAAAGCUGGACUCAAACCCAGGUCUUCUAUCCCCAAACCCAUAUGACUUGCCAUAUACGGUCCCUUGCCAGGUCCCCUAGGUGUCCAAUAUGCAGUGAUGAAAUGGAGGUGCCUUUGCUCUCACUACACAUAGACUUCAGUAAAAACUAUAAGCCAAGGCUUCAACAGCUAUGAAAGGACACAGGACAAAUGUGAUGUUUUGAGAGAGAUGUAUGGAAGUUCUGAGGAGCACAAGCUCGUAAGCAACUUUGGCUGGGAAAGUCCUACAAGAAAGGUUUGGUGGAGGACAUGAACUACUUAAAGGGAGAGGCAAGAAAAGCAUUCCAGGUUAAAGGAAUAUUAAUUGGCCCAAAUUUUAGAAAACACUGGGCAUACACCAAAAAUAUCAUCAUGGCGCCCCCUCCUCUCUCCCUUAGUCCCAUAAAUUACUUAGCUUUCCCAAACUACUGUAAGCCAGAAAUAUCUCCAGGAAUGCUCUUCUGCUUCUCUUUCACACCUGAGUUAGAGCAAGCUUCCAGGUAGAGAAAGGGGUAUGGGAAGAAAUGACCUUUCGUUGAGCAUCUACUACUUGCCAGAAACUUUAGGGUGCUCUAAAAAUGUUGUCCCGUUCAAUCCCCAUAACAGCCCUGCCAGGUAAAUAAUAUUCCCCAUUUUAGAAAUGAAGAAACGGAAACUCAGAGACUAGUUGACCUGCCCCAAAUCAAACAACUAACAGGCAGAGAAACUCUGAUUUGAACCCAGGACAGUCAGAAGCCAAAGCCAGGUCUCUGUAGGUGACUCUAUAUUAUCACCCAACCAUACCUCAAGAAGCAUCUGUUCUGUGCAUGAUUGGGAGGUUGUGAGCUAAUAAUUCAGUGCCUCGUGGAGAAGCAGCAAGUCGAGAAGAUCUAGAAGUAGACUUAAGCACCUCAAUCUCAGGGAAGGGAAAAUGGGGAGUUUCUGUUUAAUAACUAUUAACGUUGCCGCUAUGCAAGACAUAUAUAAGUUCUUGAGAUCGGCUGUCCUACCCUGUGCCUAUAGCAAACCAUAUGGUAAUGUACACUUAGAAAUUUGUUAAGAGGGUGGAUCUCAUGUUGUGUUCUUACCACAAUAAAGGAAACAAACUAAAUCACAAAGACAAUGUUACAAAUAAAG